rnacentral:rRNA from 1 species
GNNNAAACGGGUAACUCCAACCCAAUGUGAACGUUACCAAACUGUUGCCUCGGCGGGAUCUCUGCCCCGGGUGCGUCGCAGCCCCGGACCAAGGCGCCCGCCGGAGGACCAACCUAAAACUCUUAUUGUAUACCCCCUCGCGGGUUUUUUUUAUAAUCUGAGCCUUCUCGGCGCCUCUCGUAGGCGUUUCGAAAAUGAAUCAAAACUUUCAACAACGGAUCUCUUGGUUCUGGCAUCGAUGAAGAACGCAGCGAAAUGCGAUAAGUAAUGUGAAUUGCAGAAUUCAGUGAAUCAUCGAAUCUUUGAACGCACAUUGCGCCCGCCAGUAUUCUGGCGGGCAUGCCUGUCCGAGCGUCAUUUCAACCCUCGAACCCCUCCGGGGGGUCGGCGUUGGGGAUCGGCCCUCCCUUAGCGGGUGGCCGUCUCCGAAAUACAGUGGCGGUCUCGCCGCAGCCUCUCCUGCGCAGUAGUUUGCACACUCGCAUCGGGAGCGCGGCGCGUCCACAGCCGUUAAACACCCAACUUCUGAAAUGUUGACCUCGGAUCAGGUAGGAAUACCCGCUGAACUUAAGCAUAUCAAUAGGCGGGAGGAAA